rnacentral:rRNA from 1 species
UGGGGAAUAUUGCACAAUGGGCGAAAGCCUGAUGCAGCAACGCCGCGUGAGGGACGACGGCCUUCGGGUUGUAAACCUCUUUUAGCAAGGAAGAAGCGAAAGUGACGGUACUUGCAGAAAAAGCGCCGGCUAACUACGUGCCAGCAGCCGCGGUAAUACGUAGGGCGCAAGCGUUAUCCGGAAUUAUUGGGCGUAAAGAGCUCGUAGGCGGUUUGUCGCAUCUGCUGUGAAAACCCGAGGCUCAACCUCGGGCCUGCAGUGGGUACGGGCAGACUAGAGUGCGGUAGGGGAGAUUGGAACUCCUGGUGUAGCGGUGGAAUGCGCAGAUAUCAGGAAGAACACCGAUGGCGAAGGCAGAUCUCUGGGCCGUAACUGACGCUGAGGAGCGAAACGGGUGGGGAGCAAACAGGCUUAGAUACCCUGGUAGUCCACCCCGUAAACGUUGGGAACUAGUUGUGGGGUCCAUUCCACGGAUUCCGUGACGCAGCUAACGCAUUAAGUUCCCCGCCU